UACAGAGGUCUCAAGCGUUGUUCGGAUUCAUUGGGCGUAAAGGGUGCGUAGGUGGUGAUGCAAGUCUGGUGUGAAAGCCCCGGGCUCAACCUGGGAACUGCAUUGGAAACUAGCGGGCUGGAGUGUGGCAGAGGGGGGUGGAAUUCCACGUGUAGCAGUGAAAUGCGUAGAGAUGUGGAGGAACACCGAUGGCGAAGGCAGCCCCCUGGGCUAACACUGACGCUCAUGCACGAAAGCGUGGGGAGCAAGCAGG
rnacentral:rRNA from 1 species